CUAAAAAAUACGUAGUAUGUAUGCAAAUAUUAUUAUACUUACAUCAAUAUAAAAUGUAAAAAUUGUAAACACACAGGGAAAAAAAAAGUUCACUAUUGAAUCAAUAAAAUCCGACCAAUCAAACCUCUACCAAAAUGUAUAAGUGGGUCAUGGAUUAUAGUUUGUUAGAGACGCUAGACUGUAGAACCGUAGGACAGCAAGUUUAAAGUACUUUAAGUACCUAAUGACAGUGAUAACAAUUGAGUACUAAUUUGUUUGUAAAAUGGAUGGUGCUAUACAGACAAUUCCU